rnacentral:rRNA from 1 species
AGAGUUUGAUCCUGGCUCAGAUUGAACGCUGGCGGCAUGCCUUACACAUGCAAGUCGAACGGCAGCACGGGGGUAACCCUGGUGGCGAGUGGCGAACGGGUGAGUAAUACAUCGGAACGUGUCCUGUAGUGGGGGAUAGCCCGGCGAAAGCCGGAUUAAUACCGCAUACGAUCUACGGAAGAAAGCGGGGGAUCCUUCGGGACCUCGCGCUAUAGGGGCGGCCGAUGGCAGAUUAGCUAGUUGGUGGGGUAAAGGCCUACCAAGGCGACGAUCUGUAGCUGGUCUGAGAGGACGACCAGCCACACUGGGACUGAGACACGGCCCAGACUCCUACGGGAGGCAGCAGUGGGGAAUUUUGGACAAUGGGGGAAACCCUGAUCCAGCAAUGCCGCGUGUGUGAAGAAGGCCUUCGGGUUGUAAAGCACUUUUGUCCGGAAAGA